GACGAACGCUGGCGGCGUGCUUAACACAUGCAAGUCACGGGGGCCCGCAAGGGUAACCGGCGAACGGGUGCGUAACACGUGAGCAAUCUGCCUAGAUCUGGGGGAUAGCCGGCCCAACGGCCGGGUAAUACCGCAUACGCUCGUUGAGUGGCAUCACUUGACGAGGAAACCUCCGGGGGAUCUAGAGGAGCUCGCGGCCUAUCAGCUAGUUGGUGGGGUAACGGCCUACCAAGGCAAUGACGGGUAGCUGGUCUGAGAGGAUGGCCAGCCACAUUGGGACUGAGAUACGGCCCAGACUCCUACGGGAGGCAGCAGUGGGGAAUAUUGCGCAAUGGCCGAAAGGCUGACGCAGCGACGCCGCGUGGGGGAUGAAGCAUUUCGGUGUGUAAACCCCUGUUGCUCGGGACGAACAAGCGAUUUCGAUCGCUCUGACGGUACCGGGUGAGGAAGCACCGGCUAACUCCGUG
rnacentral:rRNA from 1 species